rnacentral:misc_RNA from 1 species
GGGUUAGUAGGUUGGUCAUGCCUCUGGUAUGUACUGGUCUCACUGAUUCCUCCUUCCUGAUGAACCGUAAUGCCAUUAAUUUGGUGUUGCGGGGAAUUUGGACUGUUACUUUGAAAAAAUUAGAGUGUUUAAAGCAAGCUAACGCUUGAAUACAUUAGCAUGGAAUAAUGAAAUAGGACGUUCGAUCCUAUUUUGUUGGUUUCUAGGAUUGACGUAAUGAUUAAUAGGGAUAGUUGGGGGCAUUAGUAUUCAAUUGUCAGAGGCGAAAUUCAA